rnacentral:rRNA from 1 species
GUCGAGCGGACUUGAAGAGAAGCUUGCUUCUUUGAUGGUUAGCGGCGGACGGGUGAGUAACACGUAGGCAACCUGCCCUCAAGUUUGGGACAACUACCGGAAACGGUAGCUAAUACCGAAUAAUUGUUUUCUUCGCCUGAAGGAAACUGGAAAGACGGAGCAAUCUGUCACUUGGGGAUGGGCCUGCGGCGCAUUAGCUAGUUGGUGAGGUAACGGCUCACCAAGGCGACGAUGCGUAGCCGACCUGAGAGGGUGAUCGGCCACACUGGGACUGAGACACGGCCCAGACUCCUACGGGAGGCAGCAGUAGGGAAUCUUCCGCAAUGGGCGAAAGCCUGACGGAGCAAUGCCGCGUGAGUGAUGAAGGUUUUCGGAUCGUAAAGCUCUGUUGCCA